UCCCACCCGCAAUUCUCAGUGAGGUUUGACCCUGUCAAUAUUCCGUUCCGUCCCGCCCCCGUUCCCCUUCCCCCCUGUACCGCAGAGCCCCGAGCGCGACCCCGUCAUCCCCGGCAGAGGCCCGGGGCUCCCCGACACCGCCGCGACCGGCCCCAGAAACACCUGGAAGCGAGUCUGCCAUGGAGCUCAGUGUCAGCGUGCUUCCCCUUAACUGUGAUGCCUGAAGAGUCACCACCGCACCAGCGUCCAUCCAUCCGUCCAUCGGGGAAGGGUCAUCUCCUGCUGCUGCCCUUGAUGUGGCAGGUGUCCGAGUAGCCAACAGCCUACUCCUCUGCUUUUUCCUUCAGGGAUAGGAUUCAUCUCAGAGAUGAGAGGAAAAUGCCUGAUCUCACCUGUCUGCACUUCUGCCCUACCCCAGACUAGAGCCCUGCAAGACACCUCCACAGCUCUCAGCUCACCUGUCACAUUGCCAGUCUCAGUGUGAUCGGCCUGCACCAUAUCAAAUCCAGAGCUCAGGUCAGCGCACAGAGCUGAACGCUGGAUACAGGGGAAGGUUACAAAGCCCAAAGAAGGGUUUGCAGCCUGCUGCUUAGGCUUCAGGGCUUACAGUUUAUUAUCUAAGGAUUUAGCCCUUUUCGUUUCUCAGUGAGCCAUAAGCCCUGAACCCUAAACUCAACGCAUCCUUUGUCUGGAAAUGACGGCGGGGAGGGGGGCAGGGUUGUCGACAGCCCAACAUAGCCCCUCGGGAAGCACUAAUCAACAAAAUGGGUUGAGCUGUAGACAUAGGGAAGACACCAGUUUGCAUAAAGGCAGACCUGACAGAAAAGUGGGCUCGAUGCCAGCAUCACGAUCACAAGUCAAGCUGCACCACGCGGCAGCCCUGGCUGCACGCAGGCAGACAAGAGGCAGUAACUGCAGACUGUGCUGAUGAGUAGGACAGACAGCAGCAGCAGCUCCAGACCGCCCUACCGCAAGCACCUGUCCUAACGCCCGAGGACUCGGAGCCUCUGCUGCUCUCUGCCUCCGUGACACCCUUCCCGGGAGCCUCUUCGCUGUCGACUACAUACCCCAUGCCAUCUCUAGCUCACUAGUGCUCCCCCGCUGCACGCCCACAGCCCCGUGCCUCCGCAGGCAGAGUCCCCGCGGAGGUGUCUGACGUGACCCAAACCAGGCCGACUGAUGGCACCCUCUGGGCGCUGCUGAUCACCAGCUCUGCUGAGCACCAACUGCCUCUCGGCACCCGCCACACCAGCCCAAACACACAGCAAUGACAGACCUCCAACUGGACACGGGGACAGGGAACAGAACAGAAGAAAAGAGGGUCAGAGAGCUUGGCAGAGGGAUGGAGAAAGAAAGAGGAUAGAGACCUGGCCCCAGGGUCAGGGUGCUAGACAAAGGAAUAGAAAGAGAGGGAGAGAAGGCCACACAGAUGGAGGCUGCACAGAGGACCAGGGAGCAGAAGAGAGAAAAAGAGGGAAGGGGAGGCGGGCAGAAGAAUAGAGAGGGGCAAGGAGGGAAGGGGAGGCGGGGAGAGGGACAGAGAGCAAAAGAGAAGGGGGGAGAACUGGACAGAGGAACGGGGACGGGAAGAGAGGGACAGGGAGCCGGUCAGAGCGAUGGGAAGAGAAUGAGAAGGAUGACAAGCUGGCCAGAAAGGUGGGGAGAGAAAAAGAGGGAGGAAGUCAGACAGAUGGGACAAAACAGGGGAAAGGAGGGACAGGGAGGCAAAUAGAUGGAUGAGGAGCUGAGCAGAGGGACGGAAAUAGAAAGAGAAGGCCGGAGAGGUGGACAGAGGGCUGGGAAGGCAAAGAGAAGUACAGAGAGGCAGACGAGAGCAGCAGAGGGACAGGGAGCUGGACAGAGGGAGAGCGGGCAGGUAGUGGGAUAGGGAGAGGAAGAGGACGAUGAAGAGCUGGAUAGAGCGACAGGGAGCCAGUUAGAGGGAUGUAGAUAUUGACAGAGGGAUGGAAAGAGUACAGAGGGAUGGCGAGCUGGGCACAGGAAUGAGUAGCUAAACAAAGGGAUGGGGCACCGGAUGGAGCCACGGGGAAAGAAAGAGAAGAAUGGAGCACUGGACAGAGGGACAGGGAGUGGAACUGGAUGGAUCCAGACAGCCUGGAACAGCCCUUGCCAUGCUCCAACCCCAUUCACCUGCUGAACAGAGCUCUCUGCACGCCGCUGUGCCCAAAGUCCGCUUGUGGGCCUGCUUACCUGUUUCCCUACAGCUCCAGGGCGUCUGUAUCUGCAAGAGCGAGAAUGCACCCACAGGCCCAGGCUGGGGAGGAACCCUGUGUUCAGUCACGGUAUUUCACUAUUCCUCCUGCAUUUUACUGUUCCUCUUGCAUAGCCCCUUUCAGAUGCUUAACCCCAAAUGCCCUCAGCAGGGGGGACCCCAGUGCAGCAUGCACUACAUUGGCAUCCAGUAGUGCCAGUGGUGCAUCCGAGCAAGUUUUGGCGAUGCCUGGCCAGGCCUUGCUGUUACCCAUAAUGGAAUCUAACAUUAUCUGCAUUAACUGAGAAUAAAUUGCAGUCAAGGGCUA